rnacentral:ncRNA from 2 species
AAUUAGACAACGGGGUGCUCGAAUGUUCGGGCUGAGAGUAAGCUACUCGCUUUAACCCAUAACCUGAUUUGGAUAAUGCCAACGUAGGGAUAUACUAGCAAUAUAUA